CACCGCGGUUAUACGAGUAGGCCCAAGUUGAUAAAUACCGGCGUAAAGCGUGGUUAAGGAAAUAUUUAAACUAAAGUCGAACACCCUCAGAGCUGUUAUACGCAUCCGGGGGCAUGAAGAACCACCACGAAAGUGACUUUACUCCUCCUGAACCCACGAAAGCUAAGACA
rnacentral:rRNA from 1 species